UACGUAGGUGGCAAGCGUUGUCCGGAAUUAUUGGGCGUAAAGCGCGCGCAGGCGGCCUUUUAAGUCUGAUGUGAAAGCCCUCGGCUCAACCGGGGAAGGUCAUUGGAAACUGAGAGGCUUGAGUACAGAAGAGGAAAGCGGAAUUCCACGUGUAGCGGUGAAAUGCGUAGAGAUGUGGAGGAACACCAGUGGCGAAGGCGGCUUUCUGGUCUGUAACUGACGCUGAGGCGCGAAAGCGUGGGGGGAGCAAACAGG
rnacentral:rRNA from 1 species